rnacentral:rRNA from 1 species
GAUGAACGCUAGCGGCAGGCUUAAUACAUGCAAGUCGAGGGGCAGCAUGAUUGUAGCAAUACAAUUGAUGGCGACCGGCAAACGGGUGCGGAACACGUACACAACCUUCCAACAAGUGGGGGAUAGCCCAGAGAAAUUUGGAUUAAUACCCCGUAACCUAGCGAUGUGGCAUCACAUUGCUAUUAUAGAUUUUUCGCUUGUUGAUGGGUGUGCGGCUGAUUAGAUAGUUGGCGGGGUAACGGCCCACCAAGUCUACGAUCAGUAGCUGAUGUGAGAGCAUGACCAGCCACACGGGCACUGAGACACGGGCCCGACUCCUACGGGAGGCAGCAGUAAGGAAUAUUGGACAAUGGACGCAAGUCUGAUCCAGCCAUGCCGCGUGAAGGAUUAAGGUCCUCUGGAUUGUAAACUUCUUUUAUAAGGGACGAAAAAAGGCUUUUCUAAGUCGUCUGACGGUACCUUAUGAAUAAGCACCGGCUAACUCCGUGCCAGCCGCCGCAGUAAUAC